GCCGGGCAUGGUGGCUCACGCCUGUAAUCCCAGCACUUUGGGAGGCUGAGGUGGGGGGAUCACCUGAGGUCAGGAGUUCAAGACCAGCCUGGCCAAUAUGGUGGAACCCCAUCUCUA
rfam:Pan troglodytes isolate Yerkes chimp pedigree #C0471 (Clint) chromosome 16, whole genome shotgun sequence.